GGAGGAGUGGCUGAGUGGCUUAAGGCAGCGGUCUUGAAAACCGUCGAUGGGAGACUAUCCGAGAGUUCGAAUCUCUCCUCCUCCAUAA
rnacentral:tRNA from 1 species